UACGUAGGGUGCAAGCGUUAAUCGGAAUUACUGGGCGUAAAGCGUGCGCAGGCGGUUGUGUAAGACAGAUGUGAAAUCCCCGGGCUCAACCUGGGAACUGCAUUUGUGACUGCACGGCUCGAGUGCGGCAGAGGGGGAUGGAAUUCCGCGUGUAGCAGUGAAAUGCGUAGAGAUGUGGAGGAACACCGAUGGCGAAGGCAGCCCCCUGGGUCAAGAUUGACGCUCAUGCACGAAAGCGUGGGGAGCAAACAGG
rnacentral:rRNA from 1 species